GACGAACGCUGGCGGCGUGCCUAAUACAUGCAAGUAGAACGCACAGGUUAUACCGUAGCUUGCUACACUAUAGACUGUGAGUUGCGAACGGGUGAGUAACGCGUAGGUAACCUGCCUGGUAGCGGGUGAUAACUAUUGGGCACGGUAGCUAAUACAGCAUAAUAUUAAUUAUUGCAUGAUAAUUGAUUGAAGGAUGCUAAUGCAUCACUGCCAGAUGGACCUGCGUUGUAUUAGCUAGUAGGUGAGGUAACGACGAACCUAGACGACGAUACAUAGCAGACCUGAGAGGGUGAUAGGCCACACUGGGACUGAGACACGGCCCAGACUCCUACGGGAGGCAGCAGUAGGGAAUCUUCAGCAAUGGACGAAAGUCUGACCGAGCAACGCCGCGGGAGUGAAGAAGGUUGUCGGGUCGUAAAGCUCAGUUGUAAGAGAAGAACGGGUGUGAGAGUGGAAAGUGCACACUGUGACGGUAUCUUACCAGAAAGCGACGGCUAACUACGUG
rnacentral:rRNA from 1 species